rnacentral:misc_RNA from 1 species
UGCUUUUGAUAAUGGGGUUGUGGUGGGUAUCCUUGUGACUUUAUAUCCUUUUUGUGCAGCCUGUAAUCGUUUAGAAUAAGAACUUCAAGUGAUAUUUGAUUUGAUUCUUGCUUUCUGAUUACGGUAAAUUGAGUAUGCGACUCUGAUUUGGAAUGUUUGUGUAUUUUCUACUUACUUAAUUUGAGAAGAAUUUGUUGUCAAACCAUGGUUAUAUGGAUACAGACAAUUUUUACAUUAGUGCAGUCUGAAUUUUGAGCGGAUACAUAGCACUUCCUCAAUUUUCAAUUAUGGUUGUUGUAUGAAUACAUAAUUUUGCAUAUGGCUUUCUGUGGGGAAUGACAUUAUAUUCUUUUUAUUGAGGAGGUUCUUUCCCUGAUAGUAUUGUUGGCAAUUGCAUAAUUGAUGCUAGAAAUUAUCACAAUGAUGCCCUUGCAGAUGAAUUUCAAAAUUACUGUGCUUUGAUAGAAUAAAAUUGAGGAACUGCAUGUUUAAUCUUUAAUUGAGGUUAAGUUGAAUGUGAUAUUAUUAAAAUUUUAUUUGACCCGUUAGCCAUUGGAUGCGUGGUUUUAUUAAUUCCUUUUUGUGGGUUCUGGUGGCCUAGGUUUUGGACCUUUCACAUUUUGG